rnacentral:misc_RNA from 1 species
GAUGAAGAACGUAGCGAAAUGCGAUAAGUAAUGUGAAUUGCAGAAUUCAGUGAAUCAUCGAAUCUUUGAACGCACAUUGCGCCCGCCAGCAUUCUGGCGGGCAUGCCAGUUCGAGCGUCAUUUCAACCCUCAAGCUCUGCUUGGUGUUGGGGCCCUACGGUUGACGUAGGCCCUUAAAGGUAGUGGCGGACCCUCUCGGAGCCUCCUUUGCGUAGUAACUAACGUCUCGCAUUGGGAUUCGGAGGGACUCUUGCCGUAAAACCCCCAAAUUUUCUAAUGGUUGACCUCGGAUCAGGUAGGAAUACCCGCUGAACUUAAGCAUAUCAAUAAGCGGAGGA